rnacentral:rRNA from 1 species
CCACCCUUUAAUGUUUGAUGUUCUAACGUGGACCCGUAAUCCGGGUUGCGGACAGUGUCUGGUGGGUAGUUUGACUGGGGCGGUCUCCUCCUAAAGAGUAACGGAGGAGCACGAAGGUUGGCUAAUCCUGGUCGGACAUCAGGAGGUUAGUGCAAUGGCAUAAGCCAGCUUGACUGCGAGCGUGACGGCGCGAGCAGGUGCGAAAGCAGGUCAUAGUGAUCCGGUGGUUCUGAAUGGAAGGGCCAUCGCUCAACGGAUAAAAGGUACUCCGGGGAUAACAGGCUGAUACCGCCCAAGAGUUCAUAUCGACGGCGGUGUUUGGCACCUCGAUGUCGGCUCAUCACAUCCUGGGGCUGAAGUAGGUCCCAAGGGUAUGGCUGUUCGCCAUUUAAAGUGGUACGCGAGCUGGGUUUAGAACGUCGUGAGACAGUUCGGUCCCUAUCUGCCGUGGGCGCUGGAGAACUGAGGGGGGCUGCUCCUAGUACGAGAGGACCGGAGUGGACGCAUCACUGGUGUUCGGGUUGUCAUGCCAAUGGCACUGCCCGGUAGCUAAAUGCGGAAGAGAUAAGUGCUGAAAGCAUCUAAGCACGAAACUUGCCCCGAG